GGGGGGGGGGGGGGGGGGGGAUAAUUCACAGAAACUAAGAACAAGUCUAACAAUGGUGAUCUCACCAGUCAUUUGCUAUGAACUGAGAAAAGAGCGUUACAAGACGAAAGGGGGUGAUGAGGCAGACAGCGUUACUUUGCGCGGUCCAGCGACUCCAGCCACCUCCUGGUUUCCUACCGGCUUAUUGGAUAAUCGACGUUUAUAGCGCUUGAGGACGGAUGCCAGGUUCUCUUUUCCUUUAGGAAAGGCUACAUCCCCUGCUGCAGUGCCCGUUCGUCCCUUUCGACAGGAAAUUGCUGUCUCCACGUCUUUGAUCAUCUCUAAGAGCAUUGCUG
rnacentral:misc_RNA from 1 species